UCUCCGUAGGUGAACCUGCGGAGGGAUCAUUACCGAGUGAGGGUCCUUGUGGCCCGACCUCCAACCCCCUGUCUUCCGACUCUGUUGCCUCGGGGGCGACCCUGCCGGCACUCUGUCGCCGGGCGCCCCCGAAGGUCUCCAAACACUGCAUCUUUGCGUCGGAGUUUAAAACAAAUUAAACAAAACUUUCAACAACGGAUCUCUUGGUUCUGGCAUCGAUGAAGAACGCAGC
rnacentral:misc_RNA from 1 species